GUCAGUAGAGCACUUCAUGUGAUAAAUUUGGCUGAGAUGGUUCACUUUUUUUUUUUUUUUUUUUUGAGACAGAGUUUCGCUCCAUUGCCCUGGCUGGAGUACAGUGGCGCGAUCUAGGCUCACUGCAAGCUCUGCCUCCCGGGUUCACGCCAUUCUCCUGCCUCAGCCUCCCGAGUAGCUGGGGUAAUUACAGGUGCCCAUCACCGGCCCGGCUAAUUUUUUUUGUAUUUUUAAUAGAGACAGGGUUUCACUGCAUUAGCCAGGAUGGUCUCGAUCUCCUGACCUCAUGAUCCACCCGCUUCAGCCUCCCAAAGUGCUGGGAUUACAGGCGUGAGCCACUGCGCCCAGCUGAGAUGGUUCACUUUAAACAUCAUCUCCCACUUCCUAAUUCUGAUCAUCCUUUUCUUGGGGGAAAACUUGAAAUUCCCGAGUAAAUUCCCUUGUCUUCAUACAUAUCUUCACUUGUGGUUUCAGGAACUUGAUGGGAAACCUGCUUCUCCUAUUCCAGUUAUUGUGGCCUCCCACACAGCCAACAAAGAAGAAAAGAGUUUACUCGAACUAGAAGUAGAUUUGGAUAAUUUGGAAUUAGAAGAUAUUGACACAACAGAUAUCAAUCUGGAUGAAGAUAUUUUGGAUGAUUGACUGUAAUGCUUUCCAUUUACCUAACUAAACAGAUCAUUAU
rnacentral:sRNA from 1 species